rnacentral:lncRNA from 1 species
CGAUAUCUCUGUGAAGAUGUGGGUCUUGAUCCCUGGCCUCACUGAGUGGGUUACGGAUCUGACCUUGCUGUGAGCUGCAGUGUAGGUCACAGGUGUGGCUCUGAUCUGGUGUGGCUGUGGCUGUGGCAUAAGUCAGCAGCUGCUGCUCUAAUUCGACUACUGGCCUGGGAAAUUCCAUAUGUCACAAACACGGCCAUAAAGAGGAAAAAACAAAAAACAAAACCGAAUCUGAUUUACUACUCUUUUAACUCAUCUCUUUUCCCUUCCUUAGUCAAAAUUUGGUUUCAAUCAUAGAAACUCUUGGAGUUCCCUGGUGGCCCGGUAGGUUAAAGAAGAAAGCAAGCAAACAAACAAAGAAAUAGGGAAAUUCUUUGUAUCCUAAGAUAGUUAAUCUUAGGAAAUAACUCAUGGGAUAAAAUGAAAUUUAGCAGUUCAUGAAUUGAGGGUUGUCUCAAUCUAAUCAAUUACAGUGCUCAUUUUUGCCAUUAAUCUUUACUGUGUCUCUGCUUCCUUUCCUGUAGAAGUGGAUAGUGUCAGUAUUGUUAGGGAACUAAACAAGUGGUGCCAAGACAGAUUAGAAAAACUUUAAAAACUGGUCAUUUGCUAUUCAUCUACUCACCUGAUUAUCUAUAAACAAAUGACUUUGAAAAGAUUUGGAAUUUUACUAUGUGUUCCAAACAAUGCAGUGGUUUUUGCAAGAUAGGUUGGGAAUGGGUCAUGCCAGAAAAAAAAAGAAAAAACAACAACAGGUUUUAACAAUUAGUCAUGAGAUUUUAGUUACAACCAAACACUUUGUUAUUCCUAUGAGUAACAAUGGAAGAUAAAAUAAGCCUGUUUUCCUUCUUUUCUCCAAUAUUUGCCAAUGAAUUAAAAUAUAACAAACAAAAAUUUAAAAUAAUUCUGUGUGUCAUUUAUUACUUAUCACUUUAGUUCAAGAAUAGUGAAGUUGCUGCUGGUACUGCUGACCAAACCCUGCUUGCUAAAUAAUAGCGGGUAGUCAAAAACAGAUGGGACCAGUUUAGGCUGUGGCCUGGGUUUUAGCCACCUCUUUCAACACCCAGUUGCCUAAUAUCAUUAUGUGAAGCUAAUCUGGUAACCAGUUAGAGGGGGCAUUACAUCAGGCUGACUCAUCAGUUACCAGGGAAACUAGCAGAGGGGCAACGUGCCCUCACCCCUCUGCUAAAAACAGUCACUAGCCGGGACCUGGGGCAAGCGUGUAGGAAGGUCAGUCCUGUGAGUAAAGGUGUAGAUUGAACACUAGGUGUGCAGAGAGCAAGAGAACAGCCACCUCGAGUGGCCUGACCGUGCACUUCUCCACAACCAAAGCACCAGACAGAGACAAGUUAGGAAGUCACUGAAGUGCCCUUAUGUAUAUUCCAAACAUGUACAUCUCCCAGGCUUUGCGUCCGUCCUCUCUGAAAGCCCUUACAGUCUUUGCGAGGAGAGAGCAGAAGAGAAUGGGGAAAAGGAGUGAGAGGCAAGGGCCUGCCUUCAGUAUCUGGUGGUGUAUUAUCCUCAGCUCACCACGAGAACGCCGCACAAUGAGGCUCCUAUUAGGAAUGGGAACAAGUACCUAUUGUUUAGAACCAAACAGCUCUAAGUGUCUCUUCUAGAGAUAAUUAAUUUAAUUAAAAUGAUCCCUGAAGCCAAACCAAGCUUCAUAUUGAGCACUGCACACAUUCCUUCCAAAUGCCAGCACAGGGCUAUUCAGAAUGAGCAAGGCGUCAGCCAUGGAGCUCAGCAGACGCGCUGGGCCUGGUGAAAAGGCCCACAGACAGGCCUCUCCACUUCCCUUGGAAUGGAGGCCCCAGGUCAGGGGCUAAGGCAGGGGGCUCUUCCUGGGCCGAGUGGAGGGCUGUUAGGUCUGAUGCAGUUAAAGAAAAGAUCGUCUUUCAUCUGUGAAUUUAGUUCCAAAAUCACGGGGACAUUUUUUUCCCCUAGUGGUUCAAGAGAGAAAUUUGGCUUAUUGGCUGUAUCCAGAUCAACAGUCCCCACACAGUGUAGCCUUAGUAUGCUGGUGCUCAAUAACCAUAUGCUGAAGGAAUGAAGGGGUAAAUGAGUGAAAACCAACCUCCUUGGCUGGCUUUUCAGCCUGUUUCCUGUAAAAAUGAAUAGCAUCUGAUCUUCAAUUCAAAUGAAACCAAAAAUACCUCUACUCAAACCCAACCUAAAGCCAGAUUGGGACUUGAACCCACAUUAUUUAAAAUUAGAACCACUCACCUGGUGUCUGGACUUAAUGAGGUUCAGGUUCUUUGUCUCAGUGCAGAAGGAAUUCAGCGAGAGACAAAGUGAAAGGCAAGAAAUAGAUUUAUUAACAUAGGACACUUGUGAGAGAUGGAGGUGGGCAGGCCAAGAAGCUCUGGCCUGAGAAUUAGGGGGGCUACAUUUUUAUAAUCCAAGGAAAGUGGAGUGUGAGAGAAGACUGCCUUCUUCCUCAUUCUUCCAGUAAACUUAAGGCUUAUAUCAUUAGCUCCUUCUUUGUAUCCAAUAAGAGUGUAUUUGACCCUAUGAGGUUAAACUAGGACUGUCAUGAUGCUUGUUCAAGUCAGCAGAAGAGCAGUAACACAUGCUAAAAUAUGUUGAAUCAUCUCACAUUUCUGUAUAAUGGGGGUCUCCUACUUUGGAAUUUCAUCUUUCCCUUAAAUUCCUGUCCUUGAUCCUAAGGAUCAUUAUUCAGCUGAACGCGAAUCCAGGCCUCAUUUUGUCUUUCACUUAAAGCAUAGCUCCUGCUUUUAUUUAUGGUUUUAUAGUUAAGCAAGCCUGCCUUGUUCCAAGAUGUUCUGAUGGCUUUCUUGAGUGAUUAUUAACAUACAGUGGUCUCCCCAAAUUUCCUAGUUUCCCUCUCUAUCUAUGGUCUCUUACUGGGACUUCCAGAACUACAACUACCUGUGUAGCUAUCCUACUCGAUCCCUAUCGAAAACUCCCAAACUGUCAUGUGCCCCCAUGGAACAUAAUAAGAUGCUGUGUCACUGGAUGGUGAUAUAUUUGUGGUGGAUGUAAUUCAGCGUUUGGGACGUCGUUGUCAUCUAGCUAGGGUAAGGGAAUGGGAGGCAAACAAGAACCAUAAACAUAUUAAAAUAAACCUGUGAUAUGUUAGAAGUUCUUUGUGCUAAGAGAAGAAGAGUAAUGCAGGGUAAGAGUUCCCAAGGUUGAAUUGGGGGAUGGGAGAGGGUGAAAGUGGGCUUGCAGUUUUAUCGAGGGGAGACGAGGGGAGACAAGGUGGGCCUCUUUGGGAAGGUGAUGCUUGAGGUUGAUGAGAAAGUAAGCCAUGUGUGUACCUAGAAACAAUCCUAGGCAAAGGGUAACCAGUACAAAAGGCCAGAGGCAGGAGUAUACCAGGCAUAUUUGAAAGCAAAGAACAAAGGAGCCAGUGUGGCUUGGAGAGGAAGAAGUAACUGCGUCUAGGUGGAGGCACAGGGAAUUCGAAGGCAACUGGCAGAGAGGCAGAGAACAUGGGUGCAGCUCCUGCUGGUAGGUGGGUAGCUUGGUUGUGGGAGUCUGUGGAAGUUUUCUUCUGGUAUUCUCAAAUGUCUUAGAGAUGAAGGAAGCAGAGUAAUCAGCUGAGACGAAGGGUAUGAACUUGCCCUCUAGGAGAACAGGAGAGUGAAUGGACCGGGGGUGGGGGUGGGGGGAAUAUAUGAAUGCCAGGCAGCAUUGUGGGUCCACUUAAUGGUUAAUGAUCACAAACUCAAAAUGAGGCCAGUCAGCACAGUUGAGUCUCUCCCCAGACAUAUUCAACUGUUCUGGUACAAAGAGUUGGUUUUGCUGAUAACCAAGAAUGACAAAGCUAGAAAGGGGCAAGGGACUUCAAGGGUUCUGAAGUAAUUACAACAUGAUGGUUGACCAGAGAAUUUAAGCUGAAUAAGGAGAGAAGAUAGGACCUCAAGUAAAAAGAGGGAAGGACCAAAUGGAUUAGAAAUCCCCAGGGGGAGUUCCCAUCACGGCUUACGGAAAUGAAUCUGAUUAGCAUCCAUGAAGAUGCAUGUUCGAUCCCUGGCUUCGCUCAGUGUGUUAAGGAGCUGGCGUUGCUGUGAGCUGUGGUGUAGGU